GUGAGUGUCAGACGUGCAGUGUGUGUGCUGUGAGGGUCAGACGUGCAGUGUGUGUGUGAGGGUGCUGUGCGUGUCAGGGGUGCAGUGUGUGUGUGUGUGUGUGAGGGUGUGAGUGUCAGGGGUGCAGUGUGUGUGUGUGUGAGGGUGCUGUGAGUGUCAGGGGUGCAGUGUGUGUAUGUGUGAGGGUGCUGUGAGUGUCAGGGGUGCAGUGUGUGUGUGUGAGUGUCAGGGGUGCAGUGUGUGUGUGUGUGUGAGGGUGCUGUGAGUGUCAGGGGUGCAGUGUGUGUGUGUGUGAGGGUGCUGUGAGUGUCAGGGUGCAGUGUGUGUGUGUGUGAGUGUCAGGGGUGCAGUGUGUGUGUGUGUGUGAGGAUGCUGUGAGUGUCAGGGGUGAAGUGUGUGUGUUUGAGUGUCAGGGGUGCAGUGUGUGUGUGUGUGUGUGUGUGUGAGGGUGCUGUGAGUGUCAGGGGUGAAGUGUGUGUGUGAGUGUCAGGGGUGCAGUGUGUGUGUGUGUGUGAGGGUGCUGUGAUUGUCAGGGGUGCAGUGUGUGUGUGUGUGUCAGGGGUGCAGUGUAUGUGUGUGUGUGAGGGUGCUGUGAGUGUCAGGGGUGCAGUGUGUGUGUGUGAGUGUCAGGGGUGCAGUGUGUGUGUGUGAGUGA
rnacentral:lncRNA from 1 species